GUGACAAGUCAGAAUGUCUGCUGUGACAAAGGUCUAUUGUUUAAAUUAUGUAUUUACAAAUGAAACACGGAGAAGAACUGGAAGAUAAAGAACAAGCAACAGGUCAAGAGAGGACAAUCUGCUGUACCUUCACAGCAAUUCAGUCUGCUGCAGGUCAAGGAGCAAGGUAGCAUCUCCACACAUCAUUGUUGCUCUAAAGUCUGCAGACGUCCAAUAAAUG